ensembl:lncRNA
CCUAAAUACCAACAAUUUAAAUACUUCUACUACUAAAAUAAUGAAUAAUGUUAACCCUAACUGUCUAAACGAAAUAAACAAAACUGUAGAUGGUCUACCACAACCAUACACUCUAACAAAUGGUGAGUCCUUAUAUGAAACAAAUUAUAUAAAAGAAAAUAAAAAUAACAAAUUAAAAAAAAAAGGAAAAAAAAAAAAAUCAGAUGAUAAUGUUUCUGAUAAUAAUAAUGUUUCUGAUGAUGAUAACACUGAUAAAUCUAAUUUUAAAAUGAAUGACAUGUACGUAAAUAUGAAUAGUAACACAAAUUAUAGUAGUACAAAUUAUGGCAAUAACCCUAAUUAUGUUACAAAUUAUGUUACUAAUUGUGUUACUAAUUGUAGUUCCAAUUUAGGCUCUAAUGUAGGCCCCAAUUUAAACUCUAAUGUAGGCCCCAAUGUAGAUCCCAAUGUAGGUCCAAAUAUAAUCUCAAAUUUUGGUACAAAUUAUCAGGUACCAGUUUACGAUUUACCUGCAAAUAGGAAUAUCAACUACUAUGAAGGCGCAUGUGUUAAUAACAACAACUUAGAUGUUAACUAUAAACUAGACCAAAAUAUAGGCGUUGGUAAUCAUAUUAUUGCCACUAAUGCGAGUACAGUUACUAAUGCGAGUACAGUCACUAAUACAAGUACAGUCACUAAUGCGAGUACAGUCACUAAUGCAAGUACAGUCACUAAUGCAAGUACAGUCACUAAUGCAAGUAUUACCACUGCUUCUACCACUGCCACCAAUAUCACCAAUGGUACUACUACAGCUACUACAGAUACUACAACCACUGUUGCUACCAAUACCACCAGUGGUAAUAACAAUGGAGUGACAGUAAUAAUGAAAGGGGGAGACGAUAAAACAAAAAAUGACAGUAUAAUAGAUAAAAAUUUACUGAAUUGUAACAAAAUAGUAAUGCCUACAAAUAUUCCAUAUAAUAUCGAUAAUUACCAACAAUUUAAUGAAUAUAAUGUACCAAACUCGACAAAUAUUAUAGGUAUAACAAAAAAAUGAUGUGAAUAACAAUAUAGGUAUUGUUAAUACAACAAAUUUUGUAAAAAAAAAUACAUAAUAACAAUACUAAUAACAAUACUAA